rnacentral:siRNA from 1 species
AGAAUCUUGAUGAUGCUGCAGC